AAUAGGUCAUAGCAGCCUGCAGAGAAACUCCUCCCUUCCUUAUUAGGGCAUAGGCCUUUGUGUAAAUAUCAAGGGAAUCAGUGGAACCUUCACAUAGACUUCAUCGUGACCAAAAACAAGCACUGGUCAAAGCUGGGCAGGUUCCCACAGCUUUUGGCAAAGAGCAAGGACGACCCAGAGCUGGCUUCCUGCUGGAAAGUGCUGUUCCUGAGACUGGGUCUUCACUGUUCAAAGAAUACCCGCCACCCCAUUACUCCCUCUCAGCUACAGCCAUUUUCUCCCAACCAAAUGCCCCCUUUCCUUUCUCCCUUCUCCCAUCUCAGCAGGUUAAACCAGACCAUCUGAAUCUACCUGACAAACCAUCAGAGGAAACAGAAAUCAGGAAGAGGCCAAAGGAAACCUCCCACUCCCUUCACUCCCCCUCCUCAAGCCUCCUUGUCCUCCCAGGACCCUUCCCACAGGAAGGCUUGAGCCAGCGUCCAAACUGUGCCUCACCUGGAGGAAGGUAACUACCCCAAAGGGUGUCUGCACGGGCUGCAUCUGUGGGUCCUCUGUCAGCAGCAUGUGCUGAAUUCUUGACUCACUGUUAUCCAAAGGGCUGUGCCAGGACACAUGGUCCCCACUGCAGAAGGUGUUCUCUGUGGGAGAGACACAAGGAUCCUCAGUGUUCAAGGCCCCAGAUCCAGGCCUGGAAUCUGGGCUGGGAUCUCACUAGCCCAGGCUGGGAGGCUUCCCAGCCUCUUAGGGUAGCCGCUGUGAAGGAAGAGAAGCAUUCACUCCGGAUGGAAGCAAAGAGUUUGUGGAUAUUUCCAAAAACCUAAAUUGUUCCUGCUUGCCAAUUCUGUCAGACUUAAAUGGAAAAGGACAGGCUAUUAGUGUGAAAGCUCCUUCGGCCCGGGAAACCCGAAAGACUUCUGGCAUCUGCUUCGCUUCCCCAAUAUCCCAACUCAUGGUGGGAGGCAGGAGUCAGAUUCUGCCAAGGGUAGCUGUUG
rnacentral:lncRNA from 1 species